AUCCAGCUGACGAGUUCUGAAUAGGACGAAACGUGCGUCAAACUGGAU
rnacentral:hammerhead_ribozyme from 1 species